GCAGCCGCGGUAAUACGUAGGUGGCAAGCGUUGUCCGGAUUUACUGGGUGUAAAGGGCGCGUAGGCGGGUCUGCAAGUCAGAUGUGAAAUCCAUGGGCUCAACCCAUGAACUGCAUUUGAAACUGUAGAUCUUGAGUGUCGGAGAGGCAAGCGGAAUUCCUAGUGUAGCGGUGAAAUGCGUAGAUAUUAGGAGGAACACCAGUGGCGAAGGCGGCUUGCUGGACGAUAACUGACGCUGAGGCGCGAAAGCGUGGGGAGCAAACAGGAUUAGAUACCCC
rnacentral:rRNA from 1 species